rnacentral:piRNA from 1 species
UAGAAGAUGUUGAAGCUGACCCAUUGAA